rnacentral:tRNA from 2 species
GGGCCGCUAGCUCAGCCGGUAGAGCAGGAGUCUUUUAAACUUCAGGCGCCGGGAUCGAGACCCGGGCGGCCCACCA